GCAUUUUAAACUGAUAAUUAUAAAAUGUCAACGCGUCACUGAAGGAGUCAGGUAAUCGAAUUCAGAGAUUACAUAAAUGUGUAAUACGUUUUAGAGAAGGGUCGACGAAAAGAAUU